AUCUUUGCGCUUGGGGCAAUGACGCAGCUAAUGAGGUACUAGCCGAGGCGCGUCUAUUGCUGGUUGAAAACUAUUUCCAAACCCCCUCAUUGAUCUUGGGCUUUGACCUAUGACUCUGAGAAUUUUUGGAAGGGCUCCCUUCGUGGGUAAAGCC